rnacentral:rRNA from 2 species
AGAGUUUGAUCCUGGCUCAGGACGAACGCUGGCGGCGUGCCUAAUACAUGCAAGUCGAGCGGACCUCUUCGGAGGUUAGCGGCGGACGGGUGAGUAACACGUGGGCAACCUGCCUGUAAGACUGGGAUAACUCCGGGAAACCGGAGCUAAUACCGGAUAGUAUCUUGAACCGCAUGGUUCAAGUUGGAAAGACGGUUUCGGCUGUCACUUACAGAUGGGCCCGCGGCGCAUUAGCUAGUUGGUGAGGUAAUGGCUCACCAAGGCAACGAUGCGUAGCCGACCUGAGAGGGUGAUCGGCCACACUGGGACUGAGACACGGCCCAGACUCCUACGGGAGGCAGCAGUAGGGAAUCUUCCGCAAUGGACGAAAGUCUGACGGAGCAACGCCGCGUGAGUGAUGAAGGUUUUCGGAUCGUAAAACUCUGUUGUUAGGGAAGAACAAGUGCGAGAGUAACUGCUCGCACCUUGACGGACCAACCAGAAAGCC